ACGGAAGGCAGCGGUGGGGAAUAUUGGGCAAUGGGCGAAAGCCUGACCCAGCAACGCCGCGUGAAGGAAGAAGGCCUUCGGGUUGUAAACUUCUUUUACCAGGGACGAAGGACGUGACGGUACCCGGAGAAAAAGCCACGGCUAACUACGUGCCAGCAGCCGCGGUAAUACGUAGGUGGCAAGCGUUGUCCGGAUUUACUGGGUGUAAAGGGCGUGUAGGCGGAACUGUAAGUCAGAUGUGAAAUCCCGGGGCUCAACCCCGGAACUGCAUUUGAAACUGCAGUCCUUGAGUAUCGGAGAGGCAAGCGGAAUUCCUAGUGUAGCGGUGAAAUGCGUAGAUAUUAGGAGGAACACCAGUGGCGAAGGCGGCUUGCUGGACGACAACUGACGCUGAGGCGCGAAAGCGUGGGGAGCAAACAGGAUUAGAUACCCUGAUA
rnacentral:rRNA from 1 species